rnacentral:rRNA from 1 species
GACGAACGCUGGCGGCGUGCUUAACACAUGCAAGUCGAACGAUGAUGCUGGAGCUUGCUCCAGUUGAUUAGUGGCGAACGGGUGAGUAACACGUGAGCAAUCUGCCCUUGACUCUGGGAUAACUGCGGGAAACUGUAGCUAAUACCGGAUACUUUCACCGGGGGGCAUCCUCUGGUGAUGAAAGAAUUUCGGUCAAGGAUGAGCUCGCGGCCUAUCAGCUUGUUGGUGAGGUAACGGCUCACCAAGGCGACGACGGGUAACCGGCCUGAGAGGGUGACCGGUCACACUGGGGCUGAGACACGGACCAGACUCCUACGGGAGGCAGCAGUGGGGAAUAUUGCACAAUGGGGGCAAGCCUGAUGCAGCAACGCCGCGUGAGGGAUGAAGGCCUUCGGGUUGUAAACCUCUUUUAGCAGGGAAGAAGCGAAAGUGACGGUACCUGCAGAAAAAGCACCGGCUAACUACGUGCCAGCCGCCGCCGUAA